rnacentral:tRNA from 1 species
GAAGGUGUAAGUUAAAUUGAUAAACUUUGUGGUUCAUGUUCACAUAAUAUACUUUUAGUAUCUCCUUUU